CCUACGGGCGGCAGCAGUGGGGAAUAUUGGGCAAUGGGCGCAAGCCUGAACCAGCAACGCCGCGUGCAGGAAGAAGGCUUUCGGGUUGUAAACUUCUUUUGUCAGGGAAGAGUAGAAGACGGUACCUGACGAAUAAGCCACGGCUAACUACGUGCCAGCAGCCGCCGUAAUACGUAGGUGGCAAGCGUUGUCCGGAUUCACAGGGUGUAAAGGGCGUGUAGCCGGGUUGACAAGUCAGAUGUGAAAUCCUGCGGCUUAACCGCAGAACUGCAUUUGAAACUGUUGAUCUUGAGUACUGGAGAGGCAGACGGAAUGUCUAGUGUAGCGGUGAAAUGCGUAGAGAUUAGGAGGAACACCAGUGGCGAAGGCGGUCUGCUGGACAGCAACUGACGGUGAGGCGCGAAAGCGUGGGGAGCAAACAGGAUUAGAUACCCGAGUAGUC
rnacentral:rRNA from 1 species